ensembl:lncRNA
AAAGUAUUGAAUUUAUUAAUUUGGAAAUAAUACCUUAAAAAGACUUUAAAAAGUCUUGAAUUUUGAUGUCUGGGUCUUAAAAAUUGUGCUGUAUGUAACUUCUCCGUAUUGUAAUUUUCCUCAAAAGUUUCAUUUGUCAACCACGAUUAUUUUGAUUAAAUGACGUAGUAUAAAUAAAGAGUGGCGGAACCAAUAAUUAAGAACGCAACGCAGCCCCGGGUCACAGUACAAAAUACUGCGAACACGUGAUGCCUUCAGUAAAUGAAGAUCACGCGCUGCAGCACCACAACCAUAGACUGCAAAGCAAAACAACACAACACAGACCUCAAGCAACAAGCAAAGGAGAAGCGCGAAAAAUCAAAGAAAAUCUCAGCAUUCCACAGGAAAGGUUGACUGACGCCGUUAUAUUUUUAACGUUUGUUGUUACGUUAGCUAGCUACCAAUUUCAUUCUGAGGUUAUGGGGAAAUGUAAAUUUAAUGAAGCGUGGCUGGAUAAAAACUCUUUUAGUCAUUGGUUGAAACCAGUGGACAACCUUGAUAAAGAGAUUGCUGCCCUGAGUGAAGAGCUAAGGAGUUGACUGUGUUUCUUAAUUUAAUUUAUUGUUGAGUUCUGAUUUUCGAUGUUUAUUGUUCAGGGGUCUCUCAGUUCCCCAUAUUCCCAGCAUGGAAUAAGUAGCUAGCUAAUGUUAAAAAACAACAUUGUUCGGCAAACUUUCUUGUGGCCUAUUGAAAUGUUUUUAUUUUUCAAACCUGCUUGACUUAUCUUUUACCCAUUCCACAUUUGAAAAAUAAAUGAACACAAGUUCAAGGAUUUUGUUUUUCUUUGCUGGUAGGGACGUGAAAUAGGCAUUAAUUUUUUAUAUAAAUGGUCUUAAAAAGGUCUUAAAAAGACUUGAAUUUAACUUAAAGAAACCUGUAGGAACCCUGUCCUGUGUGCUGGCAGAUAGCUCAUCUGUCUCCUCUGACUGUAUUCACUCCAUUGGGCUCAGUGCACCAAUUAUGUAACCGUUCAGAGGUUGUCCCACGCAGGCACACAGAGAUGCUGUCACGUCUCCAAAUGAUCACCGUCUUGUAACGGUACACUAUGUAGAAAACAUCCUCUGCGAUUCCAUUCCCUGCAGAGUUGUCUUGUGCUGUUGUCUGCUAAAUUUACCGCGCUCGCCGUGAUGGGGCAGUGCGCCAUGCAUCCCCUCACUGCUUAGCUGUUCUGGGAAACAGUUUAGCUGAGGAAGACCCCCAUCCUCUGUACCUUCAAACCCAAACCCAU